GACGAACGCUGGCGGCGCGCUUAACACAUGCAAGUCGAGCGAGAACCGGCCCUUCGGGGCCGGGGACAGCGGCGAACGGGUGAGUAACACGUGGGUAAUCAACCCUCGGUACUGGGAUAGCCCGGGGAAACCCGGAUUAAUACCGGAUGGCCCUUUGGAUCUUCGGAUCUGACGGAAAAGGUAGCUUCGGCCUCCGACCGAGGACGAGCCCGCGGCGGAUUAGCUUGUUGGUGGGGUAACGGCCCACCAAGGCGACGAUCCGUAGCUGGUCUGAGAGGACGAUCAGCCACACUGGGACUGAGACACGGCCCAGACUCCUACGGGAGGCAGCAGUGGGGAAUCUUGUCCAAUGGGCGAAAGCCUGAGACAGCGACGCCGCGUGCGGGAAGAAGGCCUUCGGGUUGUAAACCGCUUUCAGGAGGGACGAAGCCACUCGGGUUAAUAGCCCAGAGGGUGACGGUACCUCCAGAAGAA
rnacentral:rRNA from 1 species